rnacentral:rRNA from 1 species
AUUGAACGCUGGCGGCAGGCCUAACACAUGCAAGUCGAGCGGGGCGGCGGACGGGUGCGUAAUGCCAAGGAAUCUGCCUGGUAGUGGGGGAUAACGUCCGGAAACGGGCGCUAAUACCGAUUACUAUAAGAUGAGCCUGGGCCGGAUUAGCCAGUUGGUGGGGUAAAGGCCUACCAAGGCGACGAUCCGUAACGGGUCUGAGAGGAUGAUCAGCCACACUGGAACUGAGACACGGUCCAGACGCCGACGGGAGGCAGCAGUGGGGAAUAUUGGACAAUGGGCGAAAGCCUGAUCCAGCCAUGCCGCGUGUGUGAAGAAGGUCUUCGGGUUGUAAAGCACUUUAAGUUGGGAGGCGUUACCAACAGAAUAAGCACCGGCUAACUUCGUGCCAGCAGCCGCGGUAAUAC